GAUGAACGCUGGCGGCGUGCCUAACACAUGCAUGUCGAACGAAGCACCUUACCUGAUUCUUCGGAUGAAAGUUUGGUGACUGAGUGGCGGACGGGUGAGUAACGCGUGGGUAACCUGCGCUGUACAGGGGGAUAACAGCUGGAAACGGCUGCUAAUACCGCAUACGCGCACGAGGAGACAUCUCCUUGUGUGAAAAACUCCGGUGGUACAGGAUGGGCCCGCGGCUGAUUAGCUGGUUGGCAGGGUAACGGCCUACCAAGGAACCAAGCAGUAGCCGGUCUGAGAGGAUGAACGGCCACAUUGGAACUGAGACACGAUCCAAACUCCUACGGGAGGCAGCAGUUGGGAAUAUUGCACAAUGGGGGAAGCCCUGAUGCAGCAACGCCGCGUGAGUGAAGAAGUAUUUCGGUAUGUAAAGCUCUAUCAGCAGGGAAGAUAAUGACGGUACCUGAUGAAGAAGCUCCGGCUAAAUACGUG
rnacentral:rRNA from 1 species